rnacentral:rRNA from 1 species
CAGCAGCCGCGGGAAUACGUAGGGGGCGAGCGUUGUCCGAAGUUACUGGGCGUAAAGAGCGCGUAGGCUGGUCUUUAAGUGAGUGGUGAAAGGUUCGGGCUCAACCCGGACACUGCCUUUCAUACUGGGGACCUUGAGUGUGGGAGAGGCGAGUGGAAUGGUCGGUGUAGCGGUGAAAUGCGUAGAUAUCGAUCGGAACACCCAUGGCGAAGGCAGCUCGCUGGCCUAACACUGACGCUGAGGCGCGAAAGCGUGGGGAGCAAACAGGAUUAGAUACCCCAGUAGUCCCUGUCUCUUAUAC